rnacentral:rRNA from 1 species
UACGUAGGGUGCGAGCGUUAAUCGGAAUUACUGGGCGUAAAGCGUGCGCAGGCGGUCUUUUAAGUCAGAUGUGAAAUCCCCGGGCUUAACCUGGGAACUGCGUUUGAAACUGGAAGGCUAGAGUGUGGCAGAGGGGGGUGGAAUUCCACGUGUAGCAGUGAAAUGCGUAGAGAUGCGGAGGAACACCGAUGGCGAAGGCAGCCCCCUGGGCUAGCACUGACGCUCAGGCACGAAAGCGUGGGGAGCAAACAGG